AAUAUUGUGCAAUGGAGGGAACUCUGACGCAGCGACGCCGCGUGAGCGAUGAUGGUCUUCGGAUCGUAAAGCUCUGUCCUUGGGGAAGAAUGUCUUCGGACUUGACGGUACCAUAGGACGAAGCCCUGGCUAACUACGUGCUAGCUGCCGCGGUAAUACGUAGGGGGCGAACGGUGUACGGAUUUAUUGGGCGUAAAGGGUACGCAGGCGGCCAUGUAAGUCAGAUGUGAAAUCCUAGGGCUUAACCAUAGUUAGCAUUUGAAACUGUGUGGCUUGAGUUAAGGAGAGGAAAGUGGAAUUCCUAGUGUAGCGGUGAAAUGCGUAGAUAUUAGGAGGAAUACCAGUGGCGAAGGCGACUUUCUGGACUUAUACUGACGCUGAGGUACGAAAGCGUGGGGAGCAAACA
rnacentral:rRNA from 1 species